UACGUAGGCGCAAGCGUUGUCCGGAAUUAUUGGGCGUAAAGAGCUCGUAGGUGGCUUGUCGCGUCUGCCGUGGAAAACCCGAGGCUCAACCUCGGGCGUGCGGUGGGUACGGGCAGGCUAGAGUGUGGUAGGGGAGACUGGAACUCCUGGUGUAGCGGUGAAAUGCGCAGAUAUCAGGAAGAACACCGAUGGCGAAGGCAGGUCUCUGGGCCAUUACUGACACUGAGGAGCGAAAGCAUGGGUAGCGAACAGGAUUAGAUACCCGGGUA
rnacentral:rRNA from 1 species